ensembl:lncRNA
GGGAAACCUGGCAUUGAUGGGAAGAGGGGCCUGGCAGGAAAAGACGGUGAAAGGGGACCAAAAGGAGAUGACGGGCAAAAGGUCCUGAAAAUAUAUUGUUACCAGCCGAAAAAUAUCUUUACCUAUAUUUGAAUAUACAUGUUAACUUUCCUCCCAUUUGCAGGGACACAAGGGAGAUGCAGGUGCAGAUGUAAGUGGUUUUGAGGUUUUUAAAAAUAUUAUCUUCGUGAGGAAAAUUGAGGCGUCCACUGGUUCACAUUUUUUGUUUUGUUUCGUAGGGUAAAGAUGGUGGUAAGGGGGAACCUGGACCUCCAGGUUUGCCUGGUAGGCAAGUUCUUGUCACUACAGAGGUAAAAGCAACACCUGCAUCUCCUGAUUACUGAAUGAACUGCAUGAUAUUUCUCUAUCGAAAUUAUAACAGCAGAUUCAGCGAAGUGUUUAUAUCUUAUUUAAUAAUUAUAAAAUCUAUUAUUGUUUUUGAAAAAACAAUAAUUGAAAUACAUCGCUUACAAUUACACGGAUACACUCGCAGGGUGCCACCAUUGACGAACUUAGACAAGCAUUUCCAAUCCCAAUGGGUCCUCCAGGGGCAACUGUGAGUUUGAUGCUUAUUCUCCACGUUUCUACGUAUUUAUAGCUCAUGAAUAAUGGCACAUCAUUUCAGCUAUGGCAUAAUUGAUAUUUUGCCUGCAUGGCAUUUGAGUCAUCAUUCAUUGAUGAUGAUUUGUUGUGGGCUGCAAAGCGCUGUGCCAUUGUCUGCCACCAGUCAUGCACUCUGACAUGUUCUGUUGUCUUUUUCUUUGUGUUUAGGGUUCACCUGGGAUGAAGGGUGAUAAAGGAGAACACGGUUUGAAAGGAGAAAAGGUAAUGCUCAAAAACAUCUAUAUCUAUAUUAAAAUGCACAUGAAUUUCACUCUGUUAACAUAAUUUUUUUCAAAGGGUGAUGCUGGAACUCCUGGAAAUGUGAUUUUGAUGAAGGACAUUGAAAUAAUGUUUGAAGCCUACGGCAUAAAGCUCCCGUUGCUGAAGGCUUUGAUUGACAGGCUGCUGCAGGAUGGCAUAGAAGAGCUGCUUCAAGUACUCGGCACCACCAAGAGAACAAAAGAGAGCACAGAAACGCACACAUCCAACAUCAUCGCUGAGUACACGAAUUCAGUGAAGUUUGACCUCACCGACCAGCCACCACCAGAUCUGAACACCACCGAAGACCCAGAUUUAGAUGGCCAGUUUCCAGUGUCUCUGCCAAUUGAGCCUUCGAAUGAAACUGCAGAGGGUCCUGCUUCGUGGACUGUGACCGGACCAAAUGGAGAGCAGGAGCUUGACAUGGGUGAUGCCAAGCUGAAGGGAUCUACAGAGAAGGCGAUAGUAGACGGGCUAAGUGGCAAUAUGCCGUCACUCAAACUGAAUCUAACUGUAGUCGGUUCUUCUUUCAAUUAUACUGCGGCCCAGGAGACGGUUUCAGAGUUACCAGAAAUGGUAGAGGAGACUGUUCUCUUCAGUGAAGAAGACUCACUGAAGAAGAACGUGGGGCAAAAGAAGAAGAACAGGGAGCGUGGGAAGGGCAAAGGAAAUAAAGGACGACAUAAGAGGCAGAGACAACGCCUGACCAGCGAGGAGGACAAGCAAGAAGAAGAAGGAGGAGCGGAAGAAGAAGAAGAAGAAGAAGAGGAGGAGUUUUAUGAUGGUGAAGACUACAGUUAUGAAUAUGAGGAAGAACUUUCCACAGUUGGCCCAUCAGCCUCACAGGAGAGUAGCUACUAUAGACAGGAGGAACAUGUACCCACACACAGCCCUGUCCAGGUAGAAAGAUGGACAGAUACCUCCAGUCAUGCCCUGACAUCCUUCUCAGACGAAGGAACAUAUGCAACAGAGCAGGAUGAAGUGUCACUACCUACACCUCCCAUCAUUGCAGAAGAGCCAUACAAGGACAUCUCUUAAUUCCCAAGAGACUGUGACUAUAGAGCGUUAAGUACUCAUAAGAAAGCACACACUACGCGGAGAGUGUGAAUAGACUGUGAACUGUGUUGAUGGUGAUGAGGCCUGAACCUGACCAACGACCCAUCGGCGACGAUGUCACUCACCCAAAGCCAUGGCCAUAACACAAUUCAUUGGAGCUUUUUACAAAACCAGGCACCGCUGAUGUUGAAUUUUUUGGGAUCCUUCUCCAGUUAAUUCAGUAUAAAUAACAGUGUAGCCUUGAAUUUUACUCCACCUGUCUUCAACUCCUAAUUUAUUUAUUAUGACAAACAACAAAUAAUCUUCCUCAAACAUGUACCAAUAAGUUCAAUGCAUAUUUCCAUGUGUCAAAUUGUAGUAAAAUUCUAUUUAUUGAAAUAAAUGUUUAGUGUUUUUUUUUUUUUUGCCAAAAAUACUUUGAAUACCAGUGACUUUAUUCAGAAUAUAAGCAGUUGUGUAGCCAAAUCAAACACUUCUCACUGGUGAAAUUUUUCAUGGAAUUGUCUGUUUAACCUCUCUGCGCAUGUAUCCUUCAGUAAAAAAAUGUUAAAAUAGCAAGUCUGUGUCCUAUAUUUUUACCAUUAUACACAACAAACCAGUGCAUUAUCUCUACUGCAAUUCCUCUGUG